rnacentral:rRNA from 1 species
UGGGGAAUUUUGGACAAUGGGCGAAAGCCUGAUCCAGCAAUGCCGCGUGUGUGAAGAAGGCCUUCGGGUUGUAAAGCACUUUUGUCCGGAAAGAAAUCCUUGGCUCUAAUACAGUCGGGGGAUGACGGUACCGGAAGAAUAAGCACCGGCUAACUACGUGCCAGCAGCCGCGGUAAUACGUAGGGUGCAAGCGUUAAUCGGAAUUACUGGGCGUAAAGCGUGCGCAGGCGGUUUGCUAAGACCGAUGUGAAAUCCCCGGGCUCAACCUGGGAACUGCAUUGGUGACUGGCAGGCUAGAGUAUGGCAGAGGGGGGUAGAAUUCCACGUGUAGCAGUGAAAUGCGUAGAGAUGUGGAGGAAUACCGAUGGCGAAGGCAGCCCCCUGGGCCAAUACUGACGCUCAUGCACGAAAGCGUGGGGAGCAAACAGGAUUAGAUACCCUGGUAGUCCACGCCCUAAACGAUGUCAACUAGUUGUUGGGGAUUCAUUCCUUAGUAACGUAGCUAACGCGUGAAGUUGACCGCCUGGGGAGUACGGUCGCAAGAUUAAAACUCAAAGGAAUUGACGGGGUC